rnacentral:rRNA from 1 species
GAUGAACGCUAGCGGCAGGCUUAACACAUGCAAGUCGAGGGGUAGAGGAAGCUUGCUUCCUUGAGACCGGCGCACGGGUGCGUAACGCGUAUACAAUCUACCUUUUACAGAGGGAUAGCCCAGAGAAAUUUGGAUUAAUACCUCAUAGUAUUUUCGGAUCGCAUGAUUUGAUUAUUAAAGUUCCAACGGUAAAAGAUGAGUAUGCGUCCCAUUAGCUAGAUGGUAAGGUAACGGCUUACCAUGGCAAUGAUGGGUAGGGGUCCUGAGAGGGAGAGUCCCCCACACUGGUACUGAGACACGGACCAGACUCCUACGGGAGGCAGCAGUGAGAAUAUUGGACAAUGGGCGCAAGCCUGAUCCAGCCA